AGUCACCGCCUUAGUCGAAUUUUCGCUAGCGCCUCUUGAUCACUUGGCGGAGAUGAAUGGUUCUCCACUUGUUCGAUGUGUAGUUGUUCCACUUUAUCAAGCUUCUUAAAUAAUGAAGAAAAUGCUCCAGUAAAUAUCGAGAUUCGAGCCGUGAUGACUCCUUUUAAGGUGCAAUGGUGGAGUCAAACUAUUUGGCUCGUUUGUAGCUGAACUAUUCAAGAAAUGGUGAGAUUUGGAUAUAUCUAUAGAGAUACAUGUUUUCAUAUCUCAAGCACAGCAAGAAAGCCGAAGGAAAGUUUGCUUGCAGAUUUACUUGGAGCUCUUAGAAGGAAAGCCUGUUAAACCUGCACGGGCUGUUGCCAACAACCAUCUGACAAGAAUGGCAGAUGCAUUUCGAGCUUAACACAAUAUGCUUCCAUCAAAUUAUCAUAAUCAGGCUACUGUCUCCCCACACUAAUUAGACAAGAUCGACUGCCAUCUGCAAAACGGUCACCGGACAGAAAGAAACAUGGAAAAAACCGGUGGCGUCCACAGAUAUCUUCAGCCUUGUCAUUUCUAGUAUGCAAAUGAGUUCUCUGGUAAAACCUACGUUGCGGGAUACUCUUUCGCUCAUUGGACCUGAGAGGGAGGAUGAGCAAGUGAGGCAAUAUAUCAUUGAAGACUUGUGAGAUGUUUUUUGGACCGUGGAAAGUCUUAGAGGGGCCAUGGUGGAACCAUUUGGCUCUUAUGUAUCUAAGCAUUUGACCAGAACAUAUCUAUAGAGAUACAUAGAGGUCGCAUAUUUUAAAUAUUUGGAGAAACCAGAAGGAAAAUUUACCAGAAACUGUACUAGAAGCUCUCUGAAGUGAGGGUAACCUGCCUCCUUUUUAGUAAUCUGCUUGACAAUUGACAUAUAGGUUUGAGAACUGCAGCUGUUGAACAAAUUGCAAGAACAUUUGCUGCGGACAAAAACUGGUUUAAACGGUCUAGGCGGAGAAAUGAAAGUUCUCUGAUCUGCUCGUUUCAUUCUUUGCAAAGUUCUCUGACAUUGAUAUGAGGGCCUCAGAACAAGGCAUCAAUCCUUACUCUGGACAGUACGAAGAUAUUGGGAGAAGCAUGGCAUGGCUGCCUCAGACAUUAGCACUCUAUGUAAUCCCACACACACAGAUUCCCUUGUGCUGGCGUGUUUCUCAUUGCUGGAGACUCUGUAGCUGCUUAAUCAAUGCAUGUUUAGCUCCUUUUUCACUUCUUACAAAUUUAUUCUUAGGUUAUGGAUCCUUUUGAGCAGCCUAAUAAUACUGCAAGGCCUAUUAGCAACAAAACCUUCAGACAGAAACACUGGGGGAAACUAUGACGGGAGUCAUCCACAGGUCAACAGAGAAGCAUCAGCACCAUCACAGUCGCAUCUAACUUAAGAUGUAAUGAAUGAUAAACGUUCUAACAAUGCGACUGUCAGCAGACCAGUGCAGCCAAUUCAAGCACAACAGAUCUGGAGGGCAAAACCCAAGAGCUAAAUUCCACGAGGAUGGACCUACAGCCUGCCUUCGUAUAUUAAUUAUUGAUAAAGAUAAUAUUGCUUAUUGUUAAUCAAGUCUUUAUAAAUGGUUUGUUGUAAAAAUAACAUUAUAACCAUUAAGUUUAAAGUCAAUGUAAAUGUUUUAAUAAAUUGUGUGUUGGCCUA